rnacentral:rRNA from 1 species
AGUGAACGCUGGCGGUAGGCCUAACACAUGCAAGUCGAACGGCAGCACAGGAGAGCUUGCUCUCUGGGUGGCGAGUGGCGGACGGGUGAGGAAUACAUCGGAAUCUACUCUGUCGUGGGGGAUAACGUAGGGAAACUUACGCUAAUACCGCAUACGACCUACGGGUGAAAGCAGGGGACCUUCGGGCCUUGCGCGAUUGAAUGAGCCGAUGUCGGAUUAGCUAGUUGGCGGGGUAAAGGCCCACCAAGGCGACGAUCCGUAGCUGGUCUGAGAGGAUGAUCAGCCACACUGGAACUGAGACACGGUCCAGACGCCUACGGGAGGCAGCAGUGGGGAAUAUUGGACAAGGGGCGCAAGCCUGAUCCAGCCAUACCGCGUGGGUGAAGAAGGCCUUCGGGUUGUAAAGCCCUUUUGUUGGGAAAGAAAUCCAGCUGGCUAAUACCCGGUUGGGAUGACGGUACCCAAAGAAUAAGCACCGGCUAACUUCGUGCCAGCAGCCGCAGUAA